CCUUCCUAAGCGGGGAUAGACGGCAACUGACUGCGGAGGUUCCCUCCUCCUGGUUUUCACUUCAUGUUUUGGAUGCCGCGGGCCGGCUGAGCAGAGAUCCCAGGCUUUGGCCCAGGCAGCUGGCCUGCCUCCGAGCACUGCCAUGAACCACUUCCAGACCAUCCUGCCUCGGGUCCGGAUGCUGCUGGCCGGCCAUCUGCCAAGCCAGGCCCGGGCCCUCCUGGACAGCAUGUUGGAGAGGGAGCUCCUCUCCAGGGAGUACCACUGCGCUCUGCUCCGCGAGCCUGACGGCGAGGCCCUGGCCAGGAAGAUCUCCUUGACCCUGCUGGAGAAAGGAGACCCAGGCUUGGCCCUCUUGAGGUGGGCAUGGGGUACGUGGCAGGCCCCGCUGGCCGAGAGGGACCCCGACGACAAGGACCGUGCCGGCAGUGGGCAGUGUGCCGCCAUGGAGUUGGGGCCUCUAGAAGGCGGCUACCUGGAGCUUCUCAACAGCAAUGCUGACCCCCUGCAGCUCUACCACCUCUAUGACCAGAUGGACCCGGCUAGAGAAGAGAUUGAGCUCUGCUCAGAACCCGACAUGGACACCAUCAACUGCGAGCAGUUCAGCAGACUGUUGUGUGACAUGGAAGGUGAUGAAGAGACCAGGGAGGCUUAUGCCAAUAUCGCGGAACUGGACCAGUACGUGUUCCAGGACUCACAACUGGAGGGUCUGAGCAAAGGCAUUUUCAUCGAGCAUAUAGGAUUGGAAGAAAUGAUCGGCGAGAGUGUGGAGACGCUGGAGGAAAAGAAAAGUCAGAAAAGAUCCUUCCCAGAGGAGCUGCCCAUGGACUCGAAGCACAGGAAGCUGGCUGAGCCCCUCGCUGUGCCCAUGGUGACUGGCACUUUCCUGGUGGGGUCCGUGAGUGACUCCUCAGCUCUGCCCUGCCUGUCACCCCCUGCUGUGUUCAACAAGGAGCCAGCAUCCAGCCAGAGGUGGCUGGAGGAGACCAUCCUGAUGCCUGUGCCCCCUUCCAGUUCCUUGCUGAGCUGCCUGAGCCUUUCUGCUGGACACAUCCAGAUCGUCCCCACUCUGCCCCAGGGGCUCUGGCAAAUCUCAGGGGCUGGCACAGGGGUAUCUGGUAUGGUCAUCUAUCAAGGUGAGGUGCCCCAGGCCAGCCAGGUGCUUCCUUCCAGCAGCCCCGCCAUACAUAGCCUCCCCAAAUCCCCAGAACGGCCCGGCUCCACCAGCCCCUUUGCCCCGUCUGCCGCUGACCUCCCCGGAAUGCCGGAACCAGCUCUGACCUCCCGUGCAGAUGUGACAGAGGAGCAGAUGUCCCCUACCCGAUCCCCGGCAGCUCACGAGGUCUCCGGCCAGCUCCCAAAAUGGCCUGAGCGGGUGGAGAAGUUCUGCAGCACCCUUCGGGACAUGUACCAGGCUGAGCCCGCAGGCCCGGAAGGCAUCCUGGUGGAGGUGGAGCUGGUGAGGGCGCGGCUGGAAAGGAGCAGCAGCAAAAGCCAGGAGAGGGAGCUGGCCACCCCGGACUGGGCAGAGCGGCAGCCGGCCCGCGGGGGCCUGGCCGAGGUGCUGCUGGCGGGGGGUGACCGCCGGCGGCCGCGGGAGACGCAGGUGAUCGCUGUGCUGGGUAAAGCGGGGCAGGGGAAGAGUCGCUGGGCCCGGGAAGCGAGCCGGGCCUGGGCCCGCGGCCAGCUGCCCCAGUACGACUUCGUCUUCUACCUCCCCUGCCACUGUUUGGACCGUGGGGGGGACACCUACCGCCUGCAGGAUCUGCUGUUCUCCCUGGGCCCCCGGCCGCUGCCGGUGGACGAUGAGGUCUUCAGCUACGUCUGGAGGAGGCCCGACCGGGUUCUGCUCAUCCUGGAUGCCUCCGAGGGCCUCGAAGGCCAAGACGGCCUCCUGCACAGCGCGUGUGGACCCGUGUGCACAGAGCCCCACUCCGUCCGGGGACUGCUGGCGGGCCUCUUCCAGCGUAAGCUGCUGCGGGGCUGCACCCUGCUGCUCACGGCCCGGCCCCGGGGCCGCCUGGCCCAGAGCCUGAGCAAGGCCGACGCUCUGUUCGAGGUGGCCGGCUUCUCAGCCGAGCAGGCCAAGACCUACCUGACACGCUACUUGGAGCGCGCAGGGGCGACCGAGCGCCAAGAGAGAGCCCUGGAACUCCUCCAGGGUCAGCCUUUCCUCCUCAGCCACUGCCACAGCCCCACUUUGUGCCGGGCCGUGUGCCAGCUGUCCGAGGCCCUCCUGGAGCUGGGGGGCGAGACGGAGCUGCCCUCCACGCUCACGGGACUCUACGUGGGCCUGCUCGGCCCUGCCGCCCGCGACAGCCCCCCGGGGGCCCUGGCGGGACUGGCCAGGCUGGCCUGGGAGCUGGGCCGCAGACGCCGGGGCACCUUGCUGGAGAGCCAGUUCCCGUCGGCGGAGGCGAGGGCCUGGGCCGUGGCCAAGGGCUUGGUGCAGCCCGCCCCAGGGGCCGCGGCGGUGGGGCUGGCCUUCUCCAGCUUCCUUCUGCAGUGCUUCCUGGGGGCCGUGUGGCUGGCCCUGAGCAGCGACAUCAAGGACAAGGAGCUGCCGCAGUAUUUGGCGUUGACCCCGAGGAAGAAGAGGCCCUACGACAACUGGCUGGAGGGCGUGCCGCGGUUCCUGGCGGGGCUGGUUUUCCAGCCGCACGCCGACUGCCUCGGGGCCCUGGCGGGGCCUGCCGCGGCCACCCUGAAGGACAGGAAGCAGAAAGUGCUCACCAGGUACCUGAAGCGGCUGCAGCCGGGGACGCUGCGGGCCGGACAGCUGCUGGAGCUGCUGCACUGCACCCGUGAGACUUUGGACGCUGGGCUCUGGCAGCACGUGGUGCAGGGGCUCCCCGCCCGCCUCUCCUUCGUGGGCACCCGGCUCACGCCUCCCCACACCUAUGUCCUGGGCAGCGCCUUGGAGGCGGCGGGCCGAGACUUCUCCCUGGACCUCUGCAGCACUGGCAUUGACCCCCCUGGACUGGGGAGCCUCGUGGGACUCAGCUGCGUCACCCAUUUCAGGGCUGCGCUGAGUGACAUGGUGGGGCUGUGGGAGUCUCUACAGCAGCGUGGGGAGGCCAAGCUGCUCCGGGCGGUGGAGGAGAAGUUCACCAUCGAGCCUUUCAAGGCCAAGUCCGUGAAGGAUGUGGAAGAUCUGGGCAACCUCGUGCAGAUCCAGAGGACAAGAAGUUCUUCAGAAGAUACGGCUGGAGAACUCCCUGCGGUCCGGGAUCUAAAGAAGCUAGAGUUCGCGCUGGGCCCCGUCUCAGGCCCCCAGGCUUUUCCCAAGCUGGUGAGGAUCCUCGAGGCCUUUUCCUCCCUUCAGCAUCUGGACCUGGACUCUCUGAGCGAGAACAAGAUUGGCGACGAGGGUGUCGAGCAGCUGUCGGCCACCUUCCCGCGGCUCAAGGCCCUGGAGACCCUCAACUUGUCCCAGAACAACAUCACUGACGUGGGCGCCUGCAAGCUCGCCGAGGCCCUGCCCUCGCUGGCUGCGUCCCUCCUCAGGCUCAGCUUAUAUAAUAACUGCAUCUGUGACAUGGGAGCCGAGAGCCUGGCACACGUGCUUCCAGACAUGGGGUCCCUCCGGGUGCUCGAUGUCCAGUAUAACAAGUUCACAGCCGCCGGGGCCCAGCAGCUGGCCGCCAGCCUGAGAAAGUGCCCUCACGUGGAGACGCUGGCUGUCGGGACUUUAUGCUGUUCCAAGGCGCUUCCAGUACAGAAUCACUCCUAUCUUCCAAGGUAGAUCUUAAGAGACCCACUUUACAGACGAGGAGAACGAGGCACAGAGAGGCUCACUAACCUUUUUGAGGUCGCACAGCCAAGUCAUUGGCAGAACCAGGUCUAAAGAAAGGGGCCUCAGGGUGGUUGGAGGGAAUUGAGGGCUUGCACUGGGGACUCCGGGCCCCCGUCUCUGCUCUAACCCGGCCCCUGCAUGCCAUGCCCAUCGCAGGAUGUGGACGCCCACCAUCCCGUUUGGCGUCCACGAGCACCUACAGCAGCUGGAUUCGCGGAUCAGCCUGAAGUGAUCUCCGCGAUGCCCGGGACGAGGUGACUGAGCAUGUUCUCUGAGGACGCCGACCACGCUGGACCUUGAACUGGUUGUUUGUGGACGCGGUGCUUCUUGGGCCAUCGCCCGUGAGCCUCAGCAUCCUGGCGCCCGGCCCUACCGGCUCAGGGCCGGCCCCCACCCAGCUCUGGGAAGGCCUUUGGCCUGCUCUGCGGACGGACCCAGGCCCGGCUGCAGGCUCCUGCGGGGCCCAGGUCGAUGCCGGCCCCAACGGACGGGUGCACGACCGGUGGUGACGUAGGCCACCAGGGGCCCUGAGGCAUCCCACAGGACGCUCCUGGCAGCCGUGGCCGGGCCGGAGUGAGGGAUUGAGGCGGCCACAUCUCUGCCUCCCCAGGUCCCUGUCCGCCUGGGGAGAAGUCACUUCUCUGCACUGCUCUCCUAACAAGGAUGCCGGGUGCUCUCAGGACACGGGCGGCUGGCCCCACCUGCCGAUUUCCCUGUGACAGGCGGGGAGUCUGUGGCAGCUGCUGUCCGUCUCCAGGACUCACUGUUUUGCACUAACUUUGUCGAGGUCGAAGCUCCGCCCGGCCAGACACACUGGACUUGAGCCGGAAAGAGCUGACCGUGCCCUAACGGUGGGGGGAGGGGAGUGGGCCGGAACCACACCUGCCUCUCGGCCUUCACUUCUUGGGUCAUUUUUUCACUACAGUAUAAAGGGCCCGCAUGUCCACGGCUGGAGUUUCUACCACGAUCGCCGUUGUGGGGGGUGCCCGCUGUUCGGUUAUCUAAAUGCAUCGCAAACUACCCCAAAAUGCAGUGGGUUAAAACAACACACACGUUUACUCUGCUCACACGCCUGUUAUGUGCGCUGUGCUGGGGGGGGGGGGGGGGGGGGGGGGGUUGGUGCACAACUCGUCUCCGCCCCACUCAGUGUCAGCUGGGGCAGCUUGAAGGCUGGGGCUGGCAUCAUUUGAAGGCCUGGUCACUCCGUGCUGACUGGGGGUCGGGGGGCUAGGGUCUUGGUUCCUCUAAGGAACUGCCAGAGGAGAACCUUUCCACGUGGGCUGCUUUGGACUUCUUCCUAGCACCGUGGCUGUGCUGAAGGGCGAUCACCCAAAACCGAAGAGAGAGACAGGGACAGGAACCAUGGACCACAGAGAGAAGCAUCCUUUUUAUAACCCAGACUUGGGAGUCACAAAGCAUCACCGCCUCCUUAUUCUUUGCUCGGUAGGACAGGGGCCAGGGUUCUACAGCCCCCCACUCCUCACAGCACCCCCAGCAGAGACCACGUUGGCCCCAAGUCCUGUCUAUUUGGAAAGGAUCUUUCUAUGGCAUCCUGAGCUUUGGUGGACAGUUUGUUAUUUGGGGAUCAGUAAGUUGAAGCACCAUAAGCCUUGCAGAGGGGAUGUUUUCCUCUGCUCUAUGCUGGGAGCUGUUCCUCAGUCAAGCUGCAAUCCUGCCCUGGCCGAGGUGAGCCUGGAAGGGACCAGAAGCUUUGCCAUCUGCACAGAGCGCUGCCAGCUCGGCUCUUGUUGUUGCUUUUUUGCUGGAGCAUGACCCACUUGGUCAGAAGUCCUGAUUCAGGAGAAGUCUGCUUUCUCCUGGUGGCAGGGGGAGCUGUCUGUUCGGCUAUAGUUGCACCAGCGCUGAUGCCUGGGUCCCAACUCUCUGUUUCCCAAAGUUGGGGGGCAGGAGUUAGGAGGGUCAGAGGGAUUCGGUCCUUGCAAAGAGGUGGAGGCCUUUUUUCUCGGUCAAGCUGCAAAGGACACCAGGCGUUGUGACCCAGGUUUUUUUGUUUGUUUGUUUUUGAGAGAGAGGGUGCGAGUGGGGGAGGGACACAGAGAGAGGAGGACAAAGGAUCCGAUGCCGGCUCUGCGCUGACAGCAGGAAGCCCGAUGCGGGGUUUGAACUCACGAACUGCGGGAUCAUGACCUGAGCCAAAGUCAGAUGCUCAACCGACUGAGCCACCCCGCUGCCCCCAGGGUUGGGUUUUAAAUAGCUGGGGCAUCAUUCCUCAGGGGAUCCCGGAUUUGGAGAUUGCAUGCCAUCCAUGGGCUCCCGUUUGUAUAGCUACAGGGGUGAGCACUGAGCCACCCCCCCACACCCCAGUGCAGGCCUCUGCUGGCACCCCUCAGCCGGGUGGGGGGGGGCACCAUCAUACCCACUGCUUUCGGUCUGUUCAGAGAUGACACAUUCCCAUCAGAGGCCGUGAUUAUUCGUAGUUCGGACUCUUGAAUGAUAGCUGCCAUUUAUUAAAUGAGCUGAUACAUGUAAAGUGCUUAUCACCGUGCAAGGGAUAUAAUAAGUGUUCGAUAAAUAUCGGUAAUGAUCACUUUGUGCCAA